CACCACUUUCCCCUGUUCCUAUUGGACCCUGACCCUCAGAUCCUCCUCCUUAAGCUCCACAUAUAUUCCUGGAUCCUCCAUUACUCCCUCUCUCUGUUUCUGGACCCCUUUGGUGUGUGGUUGGAAUAAAUCCCACUGGAACUCCACACAAUGACCCUUCCUGCCUCUCUGAUGACCUGAAGCAAUCUGUGGUGUGUCAGUAUGUGUGUGUGUGUGUGAGUGUGUGACUGCAGCCUACCCAGACGCUGACCUCUCUGGAGCUGCUUUUGGGAAGGUAGUUGUGGCAGCGGCCUCAGGGGAGACAAAGAGUUCCAUUGUCCCACCCCAAACCCCUUGUGAAGGGCGGCCCAGGUGUUCUGAUUGGGUUUGAGUCCCUGGGGGGUUUUCCCUUGGUGUGCUUCUACUGGCCCCUGACCCUGAACUCCACCCUCAAAGGUGGGGACCCUUGAGAGUUCUGUCCCUCAAACACCCCUGCUGUGCCUCUGUUCAGGGCUCUCUGUUCUGAACCUGACUUUGUUCCCAUGCUGAAUAAAUGGUUUCAUGAACGGGAGCUCGUCUCGUUCGUCUUUGAUGCUGGUCCCCAGAAUCCUGCUGCUUCCCUGGACGAGAUCCUGAGGUUGCUGACUGCAACAAAUGGUGAGAGAAUGCGUGGCAUCCAGUGAAGCAAGAGAACAGCAGGACCCAGCUCCAUGGACACCUCGUAAGUCCCCGGCUGAUGGCUUGAGAGCCGGCGAGACCCCCGCCUUGGAAAGGAGGACUCGAGAGUACCUGGCAGGGAGACUGGGUUGGGAGUGCCUCAGGCAUGGGGAAGAAAAGGGCUUACGGAGGUGUGGGAGCCGAGACCAGACGCUGGGACAAGCACCUAACAUCACCCAACGAGAUGUAUUAUGGACGAUUAUGGACGAUAUCAACAUUAUGGACGAUUACAUUAACAUUAUGGACGAUUAUGGACGGUAUGGCUCUUCCAGUGGACUGUUUUUUGUCUUCUGUGAAGUUCCUUUUUUUUUUUUUUUUUUUUCUGUUUGCUUAAUGUGUUUUGUUACUGAGUUACUGGUGUCCCACAAAGCAAAGUGGGUGCUCUGUGGAGGAGGUGAGAUUUUAAGGUGUAUGUUUGGAAACAUUUUAAGCUCAUGUUUAGAAACAUUUUAAGCUUCUAAUUAAAAUAUGGGGAAGAAAAAAAAAAAAAAAAAGAGCAGAUAUGGCAGCAGCCUCAGGGGAGACAAAAAGUUCCAUUGUCCCACCCCAAAGCCCUUGUGAAGGGUGGCCCAGGUGCUGUGAUUGGGUUUGAGUCCCUGGGGGGUUUUCCCUUGGUGUGCUUCUACUGGCCCCUGACCCUGAACUCCACCCUCAAAGGUGGGGACCCUUGAAGAGUUCUGUCCCUCAAAAACCCCUGCUGUGCCUCUGUUCGGGGCUCUCUGUUCUGGACCUGACUUUGUUCCCAUGCUGAAUAAAUGGUUUCAUAAACGAGAACCCGUCUCGUUG
rnacentral:lncRNA from 1 species